GAGAAGAGAUGGCCUGUGAUCCUCUUCUUGCCCAGUGCCCCAAAACAUCUUAAUCUGUUUAUGUUUUUGAACCAUGCUUGGUGUGCCUAUUGGGUGUUCAAGAAGACUCUUGUGCUGGUGGAUUUGUGCAAGUGAAGAUCCCAUGGACCUAGAACCAGCCUGUAACUAAUGGAUAUCUCUGUCCCAGACUGGCAGAGCUGAUACAGACAUCUCCUCUCCACAAUAUCCUCUCUCUUCAUCCAAGUCCACCAGAAACCCAGCAAAUGAGGGAAAGGACCCUUAUGACAAUAUCUACUGUAAAUCAGUCAAUGGGUGCAAAACACCAAAGAAAAGCAAAAGCCCACAAAUAAAAAUGGAACAUAAACAAAUUAAAAGAAAAAAACCUCCAUGAAGUAUUUUUUUUACUGCUGCUCAGCUUUCAGUUCAAGCAUGGCAUUAACAUACAAUCCAUAGAAUAGAUAGGAAGAGCACCAGAAUGGCUACUGGAGUUUCUAAGACAUAGAGAGACAGGAGGCACAUUGAGAUUCCUCUUUGUGAAGUAUAAAGUAUCUGGGAUGGCCAGCCAGCUUAGCUACUUGGUACAUGGGGACAUGGCUUUGCUUUCUUUUUGUGGUCUGGCCUUGCUUCCUAGGCUGUGUGAAGGCAGGAAGAAAAGGUGUUGGGACUGCUGUGACAGUGCUGGGGUGACAAUUUUCCCUUGGCCUUCAGUGAUCAGUGUAAGUAUAGGGAAGUUCCUUGUAGCAGAAGCUGGUCUUUAGUAUUUUCCCUGCUAAAUAAUGAAACCUUUUAAAAAAAAAUUGUCAGUAAUAAUAGAUGGAAGGAAUCAUCCUGCUGAUUGUUAACAGAAGUUUAGAAAUUCAUCACAUUGUACAGAUCAUCUAGAUCCACCUUUCCUUGCCCCCUAGUUGUGAAUGUAGUUCCUUAUGUGCUACUAGCUAAUUGUCCAUCAAGAAUGAUGGAUUCAGGGAGUGUUUACAUAGUCUCCCCUCUCCCCCUGCUCACCCUUCA